GCUGGCUGGAAAGAAGCUACUUUGAAAGCAGCUGUGCCCUGUCCCUGCUGGGGGCAGCAGGGCUGGGUACCCCCUGGACAGCCUGUCUGGUCACUGGGAGGACAGAGGUGAUCAAAACAGGCCAGCUGCUCUGUAGAGAGGAAGAGAGGCAUGUCCUGGGAAACAGAAAGGUCAUGGUCAUCUCUUUAACCUUCAGAGGCCAAAGCAAGGUUUAAAUGGCAAUGUCUGUGCUAGCACUACAGCCACUGACCAGGAGGGAAAGGGAAGGACAAGUCACCUCUUGUUCACACAGAGAAGGGAUGCUCAGAGAUAUCUGUCUGCUGGGGACUGUUCGUAACAGCAUCUGCCAUGCUUCUUCCACCCAAAAGACUCGAGUGUUGUUCCAGCCAGAGGCUGCUUUAGGGAACAGGACUUCAGAGACUCAUGAUUGUGGCAGAGCUGGGACCCUGAUCCCAGAUUUUCGUACAUUAACUCUUGAAGGGGAGAUGCUCAAAUACAUGUUUGUGUUUGCAGUGAUGGAAGCUCUGUGGAGCAGAAGGCAGCUGGCCAUGUGCUCUUUCUCAUGCUUUCCUUGAUAUUUGGGAAAAGGUCUCUGCCCAUCUGGAGUGAAGUUUUGAAGCUGUAUGAAGAGGGACAGAAGCAGCUCAUCAGAAAGCAUUUGCAGACACCCCCAUCCUCAGGACCUGAUCUUCUGCCUCUUGCUGCGAUUUGGCACAUGCUGGGGUGGUACAAAAGGACAUUUUGGACGCCCUCAUCCCGUGAAGACCCACAGGGCCUUUGCUUGGCCUCACCUGCUGUGCAAAGUGCUUCAUUCAUUGCAUCUGCUGUCAUCAGUCCUUGCUGGGCAGGUUUUGGGCUCUCCGAGCUGCCCUGCACCCCCAUUCUGCAGGAGAGAAAUGGCUCCCAGCCUGAUCCUCUUCCCCAGGGCCAUCCCCAGGCACUGGGGCUCCUCAGCAGGAACCUCUCCCCCAGGCCAUCUUCUCUGGGGACCCGGACACCCUCAUCUCCCCCACCUCCAGCAGCAGCUGUGCAGGUAGUGGGGCACGUGAGCAGGAUGCUGUGGUGCCAGGCAGGAUUUCUGCUCACCUGGCACAAGCCCAGGGAGCUGUCGCCUCACCACUGCCAUGCUGCUAAGCAUCAGGCAUCCAGCAUCACUGCCCCCAAACCCAGCAGCAGCUUCAGAGGAUCCACCUGGCAAGCUGCAGGUGUGAGCAAAUGCAUCAUGGUGCACCGGCACCUCAUAAAAACUCCUGCAAGGCUGUGAGCACAUUAAAUAUCAGUUUUGGUACAGCACUGUGCAGGGACCAGCCCCUGGGGAACACAGCCUCCCAGAGCUGGAAGUGCCUUCAUCCAUUUGAUUUUCCAGCUGCUUUUAUCACGGAUUUUGAAAACAUGCCACUUGCUAGUAUUUUGUAAGUGCCCUUUUGUGCCUUUUCUCUGCAAAAUAAAGCCCUGGGACAAUGCUCUCCCCACUGGUAUAUGAUAAAUUACUUUAAUUCAUUUUCCUUUGAAUUUUUCACCAAUUUGCUGAUCUGAUUCGGUGAAGAGACACUUCUCCAGCCCACCGAGUUUUCUGUUCUUAUUUUCAGCUCUGUGUUAACUUGCUCCAAUCAUUGCUAAAUAUGAGGUUUGUAUUUGCUGGUAGUCAGGGCUUUUCCCCAUGGCCUUGGUACUGAGGACCAAGGUGGCCUCAGGGGUUCCUACGGGCAAUGGGCAGAGGAAACAGGCAUUGGUCAGACAGAACAGCCUGGAGGGAGGUGUCAGCACCGCAGCCAUUGCUGGGGUGUGAGAAGAGCUGGGGUGUGCUGGCCUGAUGCUGG
rnacentral:lncRNA from 1 species